GCGGGGGUGCCCGAGCUAGGACAAAGGGGGCGGACUUAGGCUCCGCUGGCGUAGGCCUGCCCGGGUUCGAAUCCCGGCCCCCGCA
rnacentral:tRNA from 2 species